CUCCUGAGUAGCUGGGAUUACAGACGGCCACCACCAUGCUCGGCUAAUUUUUGUAUUUUUAGUAGAGACGGGGUUUCACUAUGUUGGCCAGGCUGGUCUCGAACUCCUGACCUCGUGAUCCACCCGCCUCGGCCUCCCAAAGUUCUGGGAUUACAGGUGUGAGCCACCGUGCCCAGCCUACAUUUUUAAAUUAAUUAAUUAUAAGCAGGAUCUCACUGUGUUGGCCAGACUGGUCUUGAACUGAUAAGAGUUCAAGACCAGCCUAGGCAACAUGGUAAAACCCUGUCUACUAAAAAAUACAAAAAAAAAAAUUAGCUGGCUGGGAUUACAGGUACCUGCCACCAUGCCCGGCUGAUUUUUGUAUUUUUAGUAGAGACGGGGUUUCACCAUCUUGGCCAGGCUGGUCUCGAACUCCUGACCUUGUGAUCCACCUGCCUUGGCCUCCCAAAGUGCUGGGAUUACAGGUGUGAGUCACCGCACCCAGCCCUAUUU
rnacentral:lncRNA from 1 species